rnacentral:rRNA from 1 species
GUAAUGAUUAACAGGGACAGUCAGGGGCACUCGUAUUCCGUCGAGAGAGGUGAAAUUCUCAGACCAAUGGAAGACGAACCACUGCGAAAGCAUUUGCCAGGGAUGUUUUCACUGAUCAAGAACGAAAGUUAGGGGAUCGAAGACGAUCAGAUACCGUCGUAGUCUUAACCAUAAACCAUGCCGACUAGGGAUUGGAGGGUGUUCGUUUCGACCUCUUCAGCACCUUACGGGAAACUAAAGUCUUUGGGUUCCGGGGGGAGUAUGGUCGCAAGGCUGAAACUUAAAGGAAUUGACGGAAGGGCACCACCAGGAGUGGAGCCUGCGGCUUAAUUUGACUCAACACGGGGAAACUUACCAGGUCCAGACAUUGUUAGGAUUGACAGAUUGAGAGCUCUUUCUUGAUUCGAU